rnacentral:rRNA from 1 species
UACGUAGGGUGCAAGCGUUGUCCGGAAUUAUUGGGGCGUAAAAGAGCUCGUAGGCGGUUUUGUCGCGUCUGCUGUGAAAAUCCAGGGCUUAACCCUGGACCUGCAGUGGGUACGGGCAGACUAGAGUGCGGUAGGGGGAGAUCGGAAUUCCUGGUGUAGCGGUGAAAUGCGCAGAUAUCAGGAGGAACACCGGUGGCGAAGGCGGAUCUCUGGGCCGUAACUGACGCUGGAGGAGCGAAAGCAUGGGGAGC